GCUUGUCUCAAAGAUUAAGCCAUGCAUGUCUAAGUGUAAAUAAGUCUAUACUGUGAAACUGCGAAUGGCUCAUUAAAUCAGUUAUCGUUUAUUUGAUGAUCUCUUACUACUUGGAUAACCGUAGUAAUUCUAGAGCUAAUACAUGCAUCAACUCCCAACUGCUUGUCGGACGGGAUGUAUUUAUUAGAUUGAAACCAAUGCGCUUCGGCGGUAUUGUGGUGAAUCAUGAUAACUUUGCGGAUCGUAUGACCUCGCGUCGACGAUGAAUCAUUCAAGUUUCUGCCCUAUCAGCUUUGGAUGGUAGGGUAUUGGCCUACCAUGGCUUUGACGGGUAACGGAGAAUUGGGGUUCGGUUCCGGAGAGGGAGCCUGAGAGAUGGCUACCACAUCCAAGGAAGGCAGCAGG
rnacentral:rRNA from 1 species